rnacentral:rRNA from 1 species
GACGAACGCUGGCGGCGUGCUUAACACAUGCAAGUCGAACGGAAAGGCCCUGCUUUUGUGGGAUGCUCGGGUGGCGAACGGGUGAGUAACACGUGAGUAACCUGCCCUUGACUUUGGGAUAACUUCAGGAAACUGGGGCUAAUACCGGAUAGGAGCUCCUGCUGCAUGGUGGGGGUUGGAAAGUUUCGGCGGUUGGGGAUGGACUCGCGGCUUAUCAGCUUGUUGGUGGGGUAGUGGCUUACCAAGGCUUUGACGGGUAGCCGGCCUGAGAGGGUGACCGGCCACAUUGGGACUGAGAUACGGCCCAGACGCCUACGGGGGGCAGCAGUGGGGAAUAUUGCACAAUGGGCGGAAGCCUGAUGCAGCAACGCCGCGUGCGGGAUGACGGCCUUCGGGUUGUAAACCGCUUUCGCCUGUGACGAAGCGUGAGUGACGGUAAUGGGUAAAGAAGCACCGGCUAACUACGUG